CCUACGGGGGGCUGCAGUGGGGAAUAUUGGACAAUGGGGGGAACCCUGAUCCAGCCAUGCCGCGUGUGUGAAGAAGGCCCUCGGGUUGUAAAGCACUUUCAGUGAGGAAGAACGCCUGGUGGUUAAUACCCAUCAGGAAAGACAUCACUCACAGAAGAAGCACCGGCUAACUCCGUGCCAGCAGCCGCGGUAAUACGGAGGGUGCGAGCGUUAAUCGGAAUUACUGGGCGUAAAGCGCGCGUAGGUGGCUUGAUAAGCCGGUUGUGAAAGCCCCGGGCUCAACCUGGGAACGGCAUCCGGAACUGUCAAGCUAGAGUGCAGGAGAGGAAGGUAGAAUUCCCGGUGUAGCGGUGAAAUGCGUAGAGAUCGGGAGGAAUACCAGUGGCGAAGACGGCCUUCUGGACUGACACUGACACUGAGGUGCGAAAGCGUGGGUAGCAAACAGGAUUAGAUACCCGAGUAGUC
rnacentral:rRNA from 1 species